UAAGAGUUUGAUCCUGGCUCAGAACGAACGCUGGCGGCGUGCUUAACACAUGCAAGUCGUACGAGCUCUUUGGAGCUAGUGGCGGACGGGUGAGUAAAGCAUAGAUAACCUACCUAUAAGAUUGGGAUAACCGAGCGAAAGCUUGGCUAAUACCGAAUAAUGUUACUGAAUUAGGUUUCAGUAAAGAAAGGGGAAACCUGCUUAUAGAUGGGUCUAUGUCUGAUUAGCUAGUUGGUGAGGUAAAGGCUCACCAAGGCGACGAUCAGUAGCUGGUCUGAGAGGACGGACAGCCACACUGGGACUGAGACACGGCCCAGACUUCUACGGAAGGCAGCAGUGGGGAAUAUUCCGCAAUGGGCGAAAGCCUGACGGAGCGACGCCGCGUGGGUGAGGAAGUCCUUCGGGAUGUAAAGCCCUGUCAGAGGGGAAGAAGGAAGUGACGGUACCCUCAGAGGAAGCAUCGGCUAACUACGUGCCAGCAGCCGCGGUAAUACGUAGGAUGCUAGCGUUGUUCGGAAUUACUGGGCGUAAAGAGUACGUAGGCGGUUAUAUAAGCGUGAUAUAAAAGACCGGGGCUUAACUUCGGGGAUGUAUCACGAACUGUAUAACUAGAGGCUAAUAGGGGAUGCUGGAAUUACCAGUGUAGCGGUGAAAUGCGUAGAUAUUGGUAAGAACACCUGUGGCGAAAGCGAGCAUCUGGGUUAGUACUGACGCUGAGGUACGAAAGCAUGGGGAGCAAACAGGAUUAGAUACCCUGGUAGUCCAUGCUGUAAACGAUGGAUACUAGACAUAGCAACUAGAUUGCUGUGUCGAAGCAAACGCGAUAAGUAUCCCGCCUGGGGAGUAUGGCCGCAAGGUUGAAACUCAAAGGAAUUGACGGGGACCCGCACAAGCGGUGGAGGAUGUGGUUUAAUUCGACGCAACGCGAAGAACCUUACCAAGGCUUGACAUCCAUAGAAUCCUGUGGAAACAUAGGAGUGCCCGAAAGGGAGCUAUGAGACAGGUGGUGCAUGGCUGUCGUCAGCUCGUGUCGUGAGAUGUUGGGUUAAGUCCCGCAACGAGCGCAACCCUCAGCAUUAGUUGCCAUCAUUAAGUUGGGCACUUUAAUGCGACUGCCUGUGAUAAGCAGGAGGAAGGUGGGGAUGACGUCAAGUCAUCAUGCCCCUUACGUCUUGGGCUACACACGUCCUACAAUGGUGCAGACAAACAGGAGCGAGCUAGUGAUAGUGAGCGAAUCUGAUAAACUGCAUCUCAGUUCGGAUUGUAGGCUGCAACUCGCCUACAUGAAGUCGGAAUCGCUAGUAACCGUAGAUCAGCAUGCUACGGUGAAUACGUUCCCGGGUCUUGUACACACCGCCCGUCACACCACGAAAGUUUGUAAUACCCGAAGCCGGUGAGCUAACCUGAAAAGGGGGCAGCCGUCUAAGGUAGUGCAAAUGAUUGGGGUGAAGUCGUAACAAGGUAGCCGUACUGGAAGGUGCGGCUGGAUCACCUCCUUU
rnacentral:rRNA from 1 species